UACGUAGGGGGCUAGCGUUGUCCGGAAUCAUUGGGCGUAAAGAGCGUGUAGGCGGUCCGGUAAGUCCGCUGUGAAAGUCGGGGGCUCAACCCUCGAAUGCCGGUGGAUACUGUCGGGCUAGAGUGCGGAAGAGGCGAGUGGAAUUCCUGGUGUAGCGGUGAAAUGCGCAGAUAUCAGGAGGAACACCGAUUGCGAAGGCAGCUCGCUGGGACGUAACUGACGCUGAGACGCGAAAGCGUGGGGAGCAAACGGG
rnacentral:rRNA from 1 species